UAGAGUGAGGGGGUGACUAGUGGCAGAGUGAGGGAAGGAAGGGGUGACUAGUGACAGAGUGAGGGAGGUGGUGACUGUCACUAGUCACCACCUCCCUCACUCUGUCACUAGUCACCACCUCCCUCACUCUGUCACUACUCCCUCCCUCCUUCUGUCACUAGUCACCCCCUCCAUCCCUUACUCUGUCACUAGUCACCCCCUCCCUCACUC